rnacentral:rRNA from 1 species
GGCCUAACACAUGCAAGUCGAGCGGAAACGGCAUAACGGAACCUUCGGGUGAAGAUAUGGACGUCGAGCGGCGGACGGGUGAGUAAUGCUUAGGAAAUUGCCCAGUAGAGUGGGAUAACUAUUGGAAACGAUAGCUAAUACCGCAUAAUAUCUUCGGAUCAAAGUGGGGGACCAUUUGGCCUCAUGCUACUGGAUAUGCCUAAGUGAGAUUAGCUAGUUGGUGAGGUAAGAGCUCACCAAGGCGACGAUCUCUAGCUGGUCUGAGAGGAUGAUCAGCCACACUGGAACUGAGACACGGUCCAGACUCCUACGGGAGGCAGCAGUGGGGAAUAUUGCACAAUGGGCGCAAGCCUGAUGCAGCCAUGCCGCGUGUGUGAAGAAGGC